UUUUUACUGAAGGCGAAAUAUCUGGAACACCAGGAACCCUUGUAGCCACUUUUAUUACAUUUGUAUUGAACUUAUCUUUUGCAUUGAGUGUUAUGGGCUUCCUGAUUAUGCACAUCUCAUUGGUACUAGCCAAUACAACCACCAUUGAGGCAUAUGAGAAGAAAACUGAUCCUAAAUGGCGAUAUGAUCUUGGACGGAAGAAAAACUUUGAACAGGUGUUUGGGAUGGACAAGAGGUACUGGCUCAUCCCUGCUUAUUCUGAAGAUGAUUUGAAACGCAUGACAGUGCUUCGGGGUUUUGAAUAUCCAACAAGACCAGAUUUAGAUGAACUCCAACUCCAGCAGCUCUAACUGCAUUUGGCAACACAGACUGUUAAAUUGCCACUCCUCUUCAUUACCUUCUUAUGGCUUAGGCAUCCCGGAAGAAGCAGCUCACAUUGGCAAGAUCCUUGAACACUUUUAUGCCUGGUUUACUAUCUAUGCGAGAUAUAUUGGCGGCAUGCCUUGAAAUAUUAGAAUUUUGUACGACUGGAUUAUGCUGAAGGUUAAAACUAUACAAUUCUGUACAUAUGUCAAAUCUUGCUUCAUCUGCCAAAAGUAUUUUGUGCUUGCAGUGUAGCUAACAUAACUAAAUUAAAUAUUGUACUCUGUUGCUGGCUAUGCUUCUAAUUUUUUCGGA
rnacentral:misc_RNA from 1 species